rnacentral:rRNA from 1 species
UUGUCUCAAAGAUUAAGCCAUGCAUGUCUCAGUCCAAACUAAAAUAAAGUGAAACCGCGAAAGGCUCAUUAAAUCAGUUAUGGUUCCUUAGAUCGUACCCACAUUUACUUGGAUAACUGUGGUAAUUCUAGAGCUAAUACAUGCAUAUAGGGCCCAUCCUGUAAGGGGUGGCGUGCUUUUAUUAGAUCAAAACCAAUCGGUGUCGGCUUUGCCUUCAUCGUUGACUUUGGUGGCUCUGAAUAACUUUUUGCUGAUCGCACGGUCUUGCACCGGCGACGAAUCUUUCAAAUGUCUGCCUUAUCAACUGUCGAUGGUAGGUUCUGCGCCUACCAUGGUUGUAACGGGUAACGGGGAAUCAGGGUUCGAUUCCGGAGAGGGAGCCUGAGAAACGGCUACCACAUCCAAGGAAGGCAGCAGGCGCGCAAAUUACCCACUCCCGGCACGGGGAGGUAGUGACGAAAAAUAACGAUACGGGACUCAUCCGAGGCCCCGUAAUCGGAAUGAGUACAGUUUAAAUCCUUUAACGAGGAUCUAUUGGAGGGAAAGCCUGGUGCCAGCAGCCGCGGUAACUCCAGCUCCAAUAGCAUAUAUUAAAGUUGUUGCGUUUAAAAAGCUCGUAGUCGAAUCUGUGUCCCAUGCCGCCGGUUCAUCGCUCGCGGUGUCUAACUGGCGUGCCAUGGGACGUCCUGCCGGUGGGUUUAGCUCCUUUCGGGGGGCGGCCCAACUCUACCCGUCGCGGUGCUCUUCACUGAGUGUCGAGGCGGGCCGGCACGUUUACUUUGAACAAAUUAAAGUGCUUAAAGCAGGCUAAAAUUUCGCCUGAAUACUGUGUGCAUGGAAUAAUGGAAUAGGACCUCGGUACUAUUUUGUUGGCUUUAAGUGUUCUGAGGUAAUGAUUGAUAGGAACGGAUGGGGGCAUUUGUAUUGCGGCGUUAGAGGUGAAAUUCUUGGAUCGUCGCAAGACAAACAAAAGCGAAAGCAUUUGCCAAAAACGCUUUCAUUGAUCAAGAACGAAAGUUAGAGGUUCGAAGGCGAUCAGAUACCGCCCUAGUUCUAACCAUAAACGAUGCCGACUAGCGAUCCGUCGAUGUUCCUCCGAUGACUCGACGGGCAGCUUCCAGGAAACCAAAGUUUUUGGGUUCCGGGGGAAGUAUGGUUGCAAAGCUGAAACUUAAAGGAAUUGACGGAAGGGCACCACCAGGAGUGGAGCCUGCGGCUUAAUUUGACUCAACACGGGAAACCUCACCAGGCCAGGACACUGUUAUGAUUGACAGAUUGAUAGCUCUUUCUUGAUUCAGUGGGUGGUGGUGCAUGGCCGUUCUUAGUUGGUGGACUGAUUUGUCUGGUUAAUUCCGAUAACGAACGAGACUCUAUCCUGUUAACUAGGCGCAUUUCGACAUCAGAAAGGUUCGCCUGUCCGGUUUCGGCCGUGGCUGUGCGCGAUUUUUACUGUCGGCGUCAGAUUUAUUCUUCUUAGAGGGACAAGUGGCUUAUAGCCAUACGAGAGAGAGCAAUAACAGGUCUGUAAUGCCCUUAGAUGUCCUGGGCCGCACGCGCGCUACACUGAAGGAAUCAGCGUGUAUUCCCUGGCCGAAAGGUCCGGGUAAUCCGCUGAACCUCCUUCGUGUUAGGGAUUGGGGCUUGAAAUUGUUGCCCAUAAACGAGGAAUUCCCAGUAAGCGUGAGUCAUAAGCUCGCGUUGAUUACGUCCCUGCCCUUUGUCCACACCGCCCGUCGCUACUACCGAUUGAAUGAUUUAGUGAGGUCUUCAGACCGGGACUCGGUGGCAUUCACGUGCGCCGAUGAACCUGGGAAGAUGACCAAACUUGAUCAUUU